rnacentral:rRNA from 1 species
CCGCACAAGCGGAGGAGCAUGUGGUUUAAUUCGAUGAUACGCGAGGAACCUUACCUGGGCUCGAACGUAAGAUGACUGUAGGUGAAAGCUUACAUCUCUUCGGAGCUAUUUUACGAGGUGCUGCAUGGUUGUCGUCAGCUCGUGCCGUGAGGUGUCGGGUUAAGUCCCAUAACGAGCGCAACCCCUACCUUUAGUUGCCAUCAGGUAAUGCUGGGGACUCUAAAGGAACUGCCUACGCAAGUAGUGAGGAAGGCGGGGAUGACGUCAAAUCAGCACGGCCCUUACGUCCAGGGCUACACACGUGCUACAAUGGCCGAUACAGAGGGCAGCUACCUGGUGACAGGAUGCAAAUCUCCAAAGUCGGUCUCAGUUCGGAUCGGAGUCUGCAACCCGACUCCGUGAAGUUGGAUUCGCUAGUAAUCGCGCAUCAGCCAUGGCGCGGUGAAUACGUUCCCGGGCCUU